GAUUGACGAGCCGUUUGCGGUCACGCGUCGGGCUCGUUGAGUUCUUCAAUUCUAUUCAAAUAAAACAGGGUCCACUAGACUUGAUUUCUUGUGGGUAUUGCCCAAGGAUCAGUGGGUAAAGGUAGUGUGUAUGUGAAUGUUGAUGCUUGUUGGAGGCUUGUUGGUGAUCAAGCUUGGUUUGGGGCUGUUUGAUUGAGCUUGGAGGGGCUGUAAUUUUGAGUUGUGAGGCUGCCUUGGGUGAAUUAAGUGAUCGGCCA